rnacentral:lncRNA from 1 species
AAAAAGCAGAGGGAAAAGAGAAGCAAAAGUUCAAUCGGCAGGGGGGAUUGGACGUUUACUGUUCAUCCUCUUCCCCCUGCACUCGCCGGAAUUUGCUGCCUGCAGACCGACGGCUCCUUUUCUGCUUCAAUCCGGCGACGCUCAAGUUCAAUACCGGAACCCGACGGAAAGCCCCCUGAUCCGCCGGCCCCUGUUGCACUGACGCUCGCCUCACAACCGCCCUGCUGCCGACGCCACCCUCGUCCGAGUACCAGCACCAACGCCGCUCCCCAUCGAGACACCACCGGCUGCCCGCGCACCUCAACCCAUGAUCUGCAUCUCAGCUCGCCGCCGGUGAAACCCCUCGCGACGCCGGACUUGCACCCGAAGCCCCGCCAACGACCCAGCGACGCCGGAGCCCCUCUGCAGAUCCCACGACGGCCCCGC